rnacentral:tRNA from 1 species
UGGGCCAUCGCCAAGCGGUAAGGCAUAGCACUUUGACUGCUACACUCGUGGGUUCGAAUCCCGCUGGCCCAG